rnacentral:rRNA from 1 species
ACGGAGUUANCCGGGGCUUCUUUACCUGCUACCGUCAUCAUCUUCGCAGGCGAAAGUGCUUUACAACCCUAAGGCCUUCGUCACACACGCGGCAUUGCUGGAUCAGGGUUGCCCCCAUUGUCCAAUAUUCCCC